ACUCCUACGGGAGGCAGCAGUGGGGAAUAUUGGGCAAUGGGGGAAACCCUGACCCAGCAACGCCGCGUGAAGGAAGAAGGCUUUCGGGUUGUAAACUUCUUUUAGCAGGGACGAAGGACGUGACGGUACCUGCAGAAAAAGCAACGGCUAACUACGUGCCAGCAGCCGCGGUAAU
rnacentral:rRNA from 1 species